rnacentral:rRNA from 1 species
AGUGAACGCUGGCGGUAGGCCUAACACAUGCAAGUCGAACGGCAGCACAGUAAGAGCUUGCUCUUACGGGUGGCGAGUGGCGGACGGGUGAGGAAUACAUCGGAAUCUACUUUUUCGUGGGGGAUAACGUAGGGAAACUUACGCUAAUACCGCAUACGACCUACGGGUGAAAGCAGGGGAUCUUCGGACCUUGCGCGAUUGAAUGAGCCGAUGUCGGAUUAGCUAGUUGGCGGGGUAAAGGCCCACCAAGGCGACGAUUCGUAGCUGGUCUGAGAGGAGGAUCCGGCACAAUGGGAAUGAGGCACGGUCCCGACUCCCAAGGGAGGGAGCAGGUGGGAAAUUUUGGAAAUGGGCGGAAGCCUGAAGGCACCAAUCCGCGGGAGGGAAGAAGGGCUUUGGGUUUUAAAACCCUUUUUUUUGGGAAAAAAAAGUGGCAAGUUAACUCCCCGCUUUUUGACGGUAACCAAAAAGAAAACCACGGGUUACUUUGUG